GCGUUUUCGCCUGUCAGCAGAUACCUCUCACCUGUUCGACCUUUUGCCAUUGCUCUGAUAUGGCCCUCUACGACGUCGUCCACAUGGCUAAACGAAUACCUGUCGUUCCCGGAGCCAAUGUACCCCGGCAACCGGCCGUUGAACCGCUCGACGAUCAACCGAGCGACGACGUUGCCGGCUGUGAGUUUUCCGGGGCCGUAGAUGACUCCGGGAUAAAGCAGCACCAACGGCAGCUCCUCUUGCUGCGCGGCUCGCAGCGCAAUUUUAUCGGCGGCGGCUUUCGAUCUCUCGUACUCCGUGCAGAAGAACUUCUCGUGAUGGACCUGCGUCUCGUCAGCGACGCCGCCGUCGGUUGAUCCGAGCGCGAAAAACGACGACGUG
rnacentral:lncRNA from 1 species